ACACAUGUAAAUAAGGAGAUACACUGAUGUUCUUUUUUUUUUCUUUUCAGUGUUGGUAAUGGAUACUUCCCUUUUAUCACCCGCAUGCUUCCUGUCCCAAGAGAUGAAUAGGAAGUGAGUCACAGCUGCUGUCAAUCUGUGGCCAUGGAUCAGUGCAUCACCCUGCACCUGAGCCAUGCUCAUAUUACACGUCUAUAUUGCCUUAAAAUGAGCCUAAUGAGAGGGAGGGUGUGGGGGAGGCAAGGAUAUCCCAGUGUGUUUUUGUCAGCUUAUAUAUAAAUAAAAUGCAUGAGUUAUUGAGUCACAUUGUCAAUUUUACUGUAUGCAACUUUGAGAUAUUGGUUAUCAAGGAUCAGAAAAUGAUGAUUAUUUAUCUGAGUCAGCAUUGAAUUCUGGGUCAUGAAGACACACUGUAUGUGACACAGAUGUCUGGGUAUCAAGAUAACAGCCACACAUUGUUCAAGUGAUGUGAUUUACAUGCCAUGCAAUGUUUUGACAGCAAUCGGGUUUCCAGGAUUCACCGCCUGCCCCGUGAUUCGUUUAUAGAUUGUUACACGCUGUCCAUGUGUUGCAAAACCAGAUUUAACAGCACAACAAAUCUGUGAUCCGCUAUGUGAAACAAUCCCCAGCAGCUCCAGUGCACAGUCUCGCCUCGCCCAUUCUAACACAAUAAGGAAGUUGACAUCUCUCUGGGAAUGGGGGAUCAGCCGGUAGCCUUCGUAGUAGCAGGGCGGGAGCUGCGCCCGGGGUCCCCCUGGCCCGGAGCGCUGCCUGACGGGUGCAGCCGCCAUGAGUGUCGCUGGCUGGGCACCGACCGAGGACAAAGGGGCGCUGAGUAAUUCGGGGAGUGACACGCCUUCCCCGAUGAGAUAGUGCUGUGGCAAUAAUCCAACAGCUGGCUGGUGUAGCCUGCUGUGUCUGGGGAUCAUGCAGACGGGUGCUUGUGCAGAUUAGAAAUUGGAUGGUUGGGGGAUAAAUGUUCAAAGACAUGUUUAUUACGCAAAAAAUGAGCUGUUAUGCAAAUAUCAAUGAUUCAAAUAAGAGUCAAGUGCAUGUAAAAAAAGACAUAACCCUGCCUUUAUAAUAUUUCCUGCAUCUAUAAAUUCAUCAUUAAAGCUGCAAAAACAAACUGGGAACCAAAUUACUCAAUAUUUAUUUGAAGAAGCGAAUGAACAGCAUCCAUUCCCCUUUACACAGUAACAAAAUAUACAAUACACAGAAGAUUACAUUUAGUACAGAGGUAAUCCAUAUAUCCUAAAGAUAAUCCAGGAUAAUCCCACUUUUAGUCUCCCCACAGUGUCACAGUUACAAAAAUAAGGCAUUGCGGAAGACACAGAAGCUCAAGACAUGCAAAGCAGUUACAUUUUAAUACAGGAAACUCCAUUAAGAUUGUGCAUAAUAAAAUAAAGCUUUAAAGUCCGAUAAUACUUCAUUCAUCAAUAUUGCUCAGUUGAGACACUCAUUGGUUGUGGGUGCAACACGAGCCACCGCAGCAUGUAGUGUUGCAAUAAAUGUCAGUUGCAGCGUUUAACAACUAUUUCAGCUGUGACAGCAGCGGCACACAAACAUUGAUCUUCGCCCUUUGUUCCUCAACAUUAUUCAUCGUCAAUAUUAUACAAGCUGCAUAAUAGCUCAACCUGAACCCCUGACCCUCGUCUCCCCUCUGAAACUCUCUUUUGAUUUAGUGUAAUGAGGCAUGUAAACCCACACCUGAACCGCAAAGUUACUGCUCCUCACAGCAGAAUACCCAGGCCCUAUAACAUGAGUAACAU